CUAACCAUGCAAGUCGAGCGGCAGCGACACAUUGAACCUUCGGGGGAUUUGUUGGGCGGCGAGCGGCGGACGGGUGAGUAAUGCCUGGGAAAUUGCCCUGAUGUGGGGGAUAACCAUUGGAAACGAUGGCUAAUACCGCAUGAUAGCUUCGGCUCAAAGAGGGGGACCUUCGGGCCUCUCGCGUCAGGAUAUGCCCAGGUGGGAUUAGCUAGUUGGUGAGGUAAGGGCUCACCAAGGCGACGAUCCCUAGCUGGUCUGAGAGGAUGAUCAGCCACACUGGAACUGAGACACGGUCCAGACUCCUACGGGAGGCAGCAGUGGGGAAUAUUGCACAAUGGGCGCAAGCCUGAUGCAGCCAUGCCGCGUGUAUGAAGAAGGCCUUCGGGUUGUAAAGUACUUUCAGCAGUGAGGAAGGAGAUAUCGUUAAUAGCGGUACUCUUUGACGUUAGCUGCAGAAGAAGCACCGGCUAACUCCGUGCCAGCAGCCGCGGUAAUACGGAGGGUGCGAGCGUUAAUCGGAAUUACUGGGCGUAAAGCGCAUGCAGGUGGUUUGUUAAGUCAGAUGUGAAAGCCCGGGGCUCAACCUCGGAAUUGCAUUUGAAACUGGCAGGCUAGAGUACUGUAGAGGGGGGUAGAAUUUCAGGUGUAGCGGUGAAAUGCGUAGAGAUCUGAAGGAAUACCGGUGGCGAAAGCGGCCCCCUGGACAGAUACUGACACUCAGAUGCGAAAGCGUGGGGAGCAAACAGGAUUAGAUACCCUGGUAGUCCACGCCGUAAACGAUGUCAACUAGCCCGUUGGGAAUCCCUUGAGAUUUUAGUGGCGCAGCUAACGCAUUUAAAGUUUGACCCGCCCUGGGGGAGUACGGCCGGCAAGGUUAAAACUCAAAGUAUUG
rnacentral:rRNA from 1 species